UGGGGGAUAUUGCACAAUGGGCGAAAGCCUGAUGCAGCGACGCCGCGUGGGGGAUGAAGGCCUUCGGGUUGUAAACUUCUUUUGCUCUGAACAAGGCGCACCAUGGGGUGUGUUGAGUGUAGGGGUUGAUUAGCGCCGGCUAACUACGUGCCAGUAGCCGCGGUAAUACGUAGGGCGCGAGCGUUGUCCGGAAUUAUUGGGCGUAAAGGGCUUGUAGGUGGCUGGUUGCGUCUGUCGUGAAAGCUCAUGGCUUAACUGUGGGUUUGCGGUGGGUACGGGCUGGCUUGAGUGCAGUAGGGGAGGCUGGAAUUCCUGGUGUAGCGGUGGAAUGCGCAGAUAUCAGGAGGAAUACCGGUGGCGAAGGCGGGUCUCUGGGCUGUUACUGACACUGAGGAGCGAAAGCAUGGGGAGCGAACAGG
rnacentral:rRNA from 1 species